rnacentral:rRNA from 1 species
UGGGGAAUAUUGCACAAUGGGCGCAAGCCUGAUGCAGCCAUGCCGCGUGUGUGAAGAAGGCCUUCGGGUUGUAAAGCACUUUCAGCGAGGAGGAAGGGUUCAGUGUUAAUAGCACUGUUCAUUGACGUUACUCGCAGAAGAAGCACCGGCUAACUCCGUGCCAGCAGCCGCGGUAAUACGGAGGGUGCAAGCGUUAAUCGGAAUUACUGGGCGUAAAGCGCACGCAGGCGGUUUGUUAAGUCAGAUGUGAAAUCCCCGCGCUUAACGUGGGAACUGCAUUUGAAACUGGCAAGCUAGAGUCUUGUAGAGGGGGGUAGAAUUCCAGGUGUAGCGGUGAAAUGCGUAGAGAUCUGGAGGAAUACCGGUGGCGAAGGCGGCCCCCCUGGACAAAGACUGACGCUCAGGUGC